CGGGGAGCGAGGACGAGUCUGCUCUGUCUUUGAAGAAACUCGUUCGACGCUUUCAAGAUUGGAGUCAUUUAAGUUGUCCUGAUCACCGGCAGGCUGGAUACAACGACUGAGGGACGGAGACAACGAACUUUGAGCGUCAUGCACGAACGUUGAUGCGUGAAUUAGAGAAGCCUAGAUUGCACUUUACACCUGGAUUACACAAGCAAGCAGACAUGUUUUUCAGGCAAGCUAUUAACGGUUGUUGGAUUUUUUACAUUGUAUUUUCUCCUAGGUUACGUCCGGGCGAUGUCGUAAAUGGGUGAGUCAAUCGUCUACUGUGGUUGGCGUUACAUUCUGCUGAAGAAACGGAAGUUGCGGAAGAACAGCAAUCCAAAGGUGUGGAAAAGAUGAAGAAGCGUGACCACAGAGCAGCUGCAAUGGUGAAGAAGAGAUGCAGUGGUCAGCGUUCAUCCAUAUACGUUGUGUGCCCCGUGUGUCCGGCGUUUGUGCAUCAUGACAAUGCAAGCAUUUGCAAGCAUGCAAUGACAAGCAUCACCAGUGAAAUGGAUGUAAUUUUCGAAUAAAGGUAUUUGUUUGUGAUA